rnacentral:lncRNA from 1 species
ACCUCAUUUCAGUGUGCUUCAGCUGCGCCUAACCGUGCCCACGAACGGGCAUCCCCCGGAUGGCACCCCGCUGAACGUGGCACCGCCCCCGUGAGGUGUGGGGAAGCGACCCUGGGCUGCUGAGGCACAGCAGCGUCUCUGCGAGCAGACCGGGGCGGCUGGCUGGGACAUCUGUUUCUCCUCAACCUGUAACACAAGGAGGAGGUUGAACUGGAGCCACUGCCGCCCUGUGCCUGCGCCCCGCUUCCUUUGCUCCUGGACAUUUCUUGCUCGACUGCUGGGGUCUCUUCACCUCUCUUCAUCACAACACCGAGAGAGGAGGAGGAGGAAGGGAGAGAAAGGGAAAACUAAAAACCCUGAAGGAUGGUUCUCAAAAAUUCUAGCGGAACCAGGGGGAAUUCCUCGGAGAGCGGGAGCCAGCCGGCGGAGGUCUGUGCUCGUGCACAGCUAUUCUAGAGCGAGGGAAGCUGCCGCAGAACUUCAGUGCUGCGUGCGAUGCCUGCCAGCAGCCGCGGUGCCGUAAAUGACCACUCACAGGUCUGCAGAACGUCACUAACAUUAAUUCACUGAAAAAAAAAAAAAAGCAAAGCACCUCUAUUAGUUUUUCUUAGGUAUUACCAGGGACUUUAAAAGGAUAUACUAAUGGGAUAACUGUAUUCACUAGAUUAAUAAAUAAAUAGAAAAUCCCUAAUUCUUUCAAGGGGUGGGGCUGGGGAAAGUGGAUGAAAGUGACUCACAGUUAACCGAAUAAAAAUCCUGCGUUGAAAUUGCCUGAUUGAUCGUACUGUAGUGCACUAAGAGACAACAAGACAAAGUCGAGGAGGGAAAAGGCAGGAGCAUCAAGAGAAGUGCAGUAUAACCCUAUUACGGCAAUCCGCAGGGUAGAUCCACCUGUCCGUAUGGCCCGGUUCCUAAACAAUGGCCAGGCCGCCACCUCUUGCAUUUCUGUGCCACUGAAGCACCGUGUUU